rnacentral:misc_RNA from 1 species
AAGUCGUAACAAGGUUUCCGUAGGUGAACCUGCGGAAGGAUCAUUAACACGUAUCCGAACGUAAAAAAAACCCUGUGCAUCUUCAUUGGUUGGUUUGCGAACGACUCUAGCGCCAGCCUGCAAUAAUUACUGACCUGGCACUCUAAGCAAUCAAUGUUCUGUCAGUGUACAUUGGUUGUAACGGGUGGCGGCUUCACCGAUCGUUAGAGGCCCACACGGCCGACGACUGGGUCAGCGAGCUGUCAGUGCUCCCCCCAAUAACCACUCAACAAGUACUUCUGCGCUUUAAAAUUAAUACAACUGUUAUAGCAAAAGCCUGCUUUACACUCUAAUUUUUUCAAAGUAAAUGAUCUAGAUCGCGAUCCCAACCAAGUGAAUGGCAGAAUCGUUUAUAUAUAUGGAUAUCUUGGUUCUC